rnacentral:misc_RNA from 1 species
AUGAUGGCAGGAAAAUGCAUCCUAGGUCAUCAUUCAAAGCAUUCCUGGAAGUUGUCAAGACAAGGAGUAUACCCUGGAAGGAUUAUGAGAUGGAUGCAAUCCACUCUUUGCAGCUCAUACUAAGAAAUGCUUUCAAGGAUGCUGAGGUUGUGAAUUCAAAUACCAAUUCCAUCUAUAAGAAGCUUAAUGAUCUAAAGAUUGACGGAAUGCAGGAACUAGAAUCAGUGACUGCUGAAAUGGUCCGCUUAAUUGAAACAGCUUUAGUUCCUAUAUUAGCAGUUGAUGUUGAUGGGCAGGUUAAUGGAUGGAACACAAAAAUAGCUGAAUUAACUGGUCUUCCUGUUGAUGAAGCAAUUGGGAAACAUCUUCUCACUCUCGUGGAGGAUUCAUCAGUUGAUACCGUGAAUAAGAUGUUGGAAUUAGCAUUGCAGGGGAAAGAGGAAAAAAAUGUAGAGUUUGAAAUAAAAACACAUGGGCCGUCAAGAGAUUCUAGUCCAAUCAGCUUAAUCGUGAAUGCAUGUGCAAGCAAAGAUGUUCGGGAUAAUGUUGUGGGUGUGUGUUUUAUGGCUCAUGAUAUAACUGGACAAAAAAGCAUCAUGGACAAGUUCACCCGAAUCGAAGGUGACUAUAGAGCGAUUAUCCAAAAUCCUCACCCAUUGAUCCCACCAAUAUUUG